UACAGAGGAGGCAAGCGUUGUUCGGAAUCACUGGGCUUAAAGCGCGUGUAGGCGGCUCGGUAAGUAUCCUGUGAAAUCCCACGGCUCACCCGUGGAACGGCAGGGUAUACUGCCGGGCUUGAGGCAGGUAGGGGCCACUGGAACUCUAGGUGGAACGGUGAAAUGUGUAGAUAUCUAGAGGAACGCCCGCGGCGAAAGCGGGUGGCUGGGCCUGUCCUGACGCUGAGACGCGAAAGCGUGGGGAGCAAACGGG
rnacentral:rRNA from 1 species